rnacentral:lncRNA from 1 species
CACACAUUCACACACACAUACACACACACUGGAUCUUCAUCUGUGGUAUAUUCAGUUGCCAUUGGAAACCUAAGAAAGAAGUGAAUCUACCCUCCAAGUCUUAAGCUGGUGGUUUUUUUUUUCCCUCCCCUUUUCUCCUCUCCUCACAGAAGGCGAAGUCUUUCACAAUGAAUCCAUGGCAGCUUCGAUCGAGCGGUGAGCUGGAGCACCUACAUACAGGCCACUCCUUGAUGUGACUGAAAAGAGGCCUUUUCCAGCACUCUGAAAGGAGAGUGGGGCUGUGGAUUUACCUCCCACACACCUGGGCACCCAGAGUACAUGCACUGCGAGGGAUAGGCAAAACCCUGCUGUACUGCUGUGGGCAGCUGGCAG